rnacentral:rRNA from 1 species
AUUGAACGCUGGCGGCAGGCUUAACACAUGCAAGUCGAGCGAGAGGCGGACGGGUGAGUAAUGUCUGGGAAACUGCCUGAUGGAGGGGGAUAACUACUGGAAACGGUAGCUAAUACCGACAUCCCUCAGAGUUGCCCAUAGGGGAUUAGGUAGUAGUUGGGGUAAUGGCUCACCUAGGCGACAAUCCCUAGCUGGUCUGAGAGGAUGACCAGCCACACGGGAACGGAGACACGUUCCGGACUCCUACGGGAGGCAGCAGUGGGGAAUAUUGCACAAUGGGCGCAAGCCUGAUGCAGCCAUGCCGCGUGUGUGAAGAAGGCCUUCGGGUUGUAAAGCACUUUCAGCGAGGAGGCGUUACUCGCAGAAGAAGCACCGGCUAACUCCGUGCCAGCAGCCGCGGUAAUAC